GGAAUAUUGGUCAAUGGGCGGGAGCCUGAACCAGCCAAGUCGCGUGAGGGACGACGGUCCUAUGGAUUGUAAACCUCUUUUUUCGGGGAACAAAGGCGCCCACGGGUGGGCGGAUCAGUGUACCCGAAGAAAAAGCAUCGGCUAACUCCGUUCCAGCAGCCGCGGUAAUACGGAGGAUGCGAGCGUUAUCAGGAUUUAGUGGGUUUAAAGGGUGCGUAGGCGGACGGUCAAGUCAGCGGUAAAAAUGCGGUGCUCAACGCCGUACAGCCGUUGAAACUGGCGUUCUUGAGUGGGCGAGAAGUAUGCGGAAUGCGUGGUGUAGCGGUGAAAUGCAUAGAUAUCACGCAGAACUCCGAUUGCGAAGGCAGCAUACCGGCGCCCAACUGACGCUGAAGCACGAAAGCGUGGGUAUCGAAC
rnacentral:rRNA from 1 species